ensembl:snRNA U6 U6 spliceosomal RNA
AUGUGCUCAUUUCUGCAACAUAUAUACUAAAACUAGAAUGAUACAAAGGAGAUGAGCACGGCCCCUGUACAAGCAUGACAUGCCAAUUCCUGAAGCAUUCCUUUUUUUU